CAGAAGGGCAGGCAAGAGUUGUGCAGAGUGUGUGCGCCUGGGUGCCAGCUGGCAGGGUGUGAGUCCCCCAACCGUGGUGCCGGUGUGUGUGUGCAGCGGGCAUAAGUGUGAGUGGUUAUGAGUGAGGAGGGGGAUCCGAGCAGGCGGCUGGAGAUGCGUGAGGGCAGGAGUUGUGAGUGUGGGAACAGUGAGUGUGCCCCUGGCUGUGAAUACGUGUGGUCCUGGAGUUUUCCUGCCUGCCUAAUGGGAGUGAUGCGAGCCAGUUGCUGGAGCUCCUAGCUCCAAGAUGCUGGGCCCUACGCGGUGGAUUGGAUCGCCCCCUUCUGGACUAGAUGGUACUUAGGCUAUCUGGGAUGGCCAGGCAUCUUGGACUCUACAAAAGCGUUUUCUCAUUCAUUAACUUGAGCCUCACUUCCAAAGAAAUGGACUCCAUUGCCCCUCUUAUAAAGAUGAAGAAACAGAAUCUUUGAGAUCACACAGCAGCACCAAGACUGAAACCCAGACUCUUUCAGUUCCAGCCUGAGGCCUCUCCAAGUCAAUGUGGUGGUAGAACUGGGGCUCACACCCAGGGCUUUCUCCUCUUAACCCACAGAUUGCUGGCAGCGGGGCACAGGCAAAGGGUCAGGGAGAGAGCAGAUUAGAAGAGAGAAAACAAGAGAUUUCACUUGGGGGCUGCGAAGGAAGGAGGUCAGGGUGGGACAGCGGCACUGUGCUGUUCUGCCACUAACCCACUGCCUGACCUUCAGGAAACAUUUCUCCUCCUAGUCUGGAACAGGGUUAAACACGGUGACCUCUAAAUCUCCUUCAAGAGCAGACCUCCGGGGAUUGUAUGAGUUUGAAAAGGCUUAUGCUGUGAAGGUUCUGUCCAAAAUUCUUCCAAUGGCCUUGUUUCUUACAGAAAUCCCAACUUGUCUUAUUUGCAUUCAAGGUCCCAGCCUCCCCUCCUGCACAUGCCCUCUGUCCAAGUACCAUUUCCACCAGGUUCUCUCCCUAAACAUGCCUGAACUUGGUCACGUCCUUUCCCUUCCCGGUGCUUCCCCCUCUUCCCGCAUGCCUUCCCCUCUUUCUAGCAGAGUCCCCCAUUGACCAAGUUCCAGUCUGAGUCCCCCACAGGAAGGAAAGACUUUUGCCAGUCCCCAAGCCACUGUUGAUCCAUCACUGUGUACCCAGAACUGUGCUAAGAACUUUAAUUAUCCCACUUAAUCUUCAGAACAACCAGGCCCCAUAGAGUCGAGUAGUGUGGUUGUAAGUAUGGAUAGUAGCUUUGAAUCCUGCCACUUGCUCUGUGACCUUAGACACGUUACUUAGCCUUUCUGUGCCUGAACUUCCUCAUCUGUAAAAUAAAGAUUAUAAUACCACCAUCGCAAGAUUAUUGUGAGGGCUAAAUGAAAAACACUACAAAGCCCUUAGAACAGUGCCUGGAACGUAGUAAAUACGUAAUACAUGUUGGCUACUAUUAUUAUCAUCUGUUGAUAUUAUUUACAGACAAAAAAUAGAUGCCCAGAGAGGUUAAGUGUCUUGUCCAAUGUCACACAGCAAGGCAGUUGUAGAGACAUGAUCUAUUUGAUUCUACAGCCCAUGCUCUUAGGCACAAUAAUGAAGCACAUCUAGUUAAAACACCCUCUUUGCAACUCAGGAAACUAAGACCCAGAGAGGCUAAGUGACUCCUUCAGAGUCACACAGCCAACCAUGACAGAACCAGAGCCAGGUCCUCUGUCUCCCAGCUCAGGGCUCUCCCACUAUACUGUCCCAUUUGUACUUCCUGCAGCACCUAAAUUGCUCUUUACAAAUCACAUUCCCAUCCAUGAUGUCGUACAAUUUAUGCAACAAACCCUGAGGCCAGUACGAUCGCCUUCCUUCUUCUGGAGAUAAGCAAACGGAAGCUCAGAGACGUGAAGUGACAGGCACAAGGUUGCACAGGGAGGCGGGGCCGAAGCUGGAUGUGACAGGAAGAAUCCCCAGCCCGUAUUCCUCCCCUGUGUAAUAUUGUCUUUCCUGCUUCAUGGAUCCAGUGUGAACUGCGGGCACGGGCACUGUGGACGCUAAAAGCCUGGUGGAGGCAGCAGGUAACUGAAGAUUAUGCCAGAAAAUAGUCUCUAGGAAUUCACUAGGGUGGGAGCACUCGGGGAAUGCUCUAGGAGGGAGUAAACAUCCCAUCCCUGGAGGCAAUUAAACAAGCAUCCAGUGGUCACGUGGAUGCCAGGAGGCAAAUAUCACCGCUAUUCCCAUCACCCAAGUGAGACUCGGAAGGUGAGCAUCAGGUCAGGUCUUGCAGGUGGGCAAGACGAUCUUCUUAAGGUCCCCCCCGAAGCGAGACAUCUCGCACGGCCUCCUGCCUCUGACCCGAGCUCCCUGGAGAGUCCCCACCCUCCCCUUGACUCAGGGAGGCCACCCUCCCUCCCCUUUGAGAGGUGUCACUUGUGCACCAUGGCUCUGUCAGUGGUAACAGCCGUAAGAUUUGUCCUUUUAAUCCAGAAUCAAUAACAAAUUUCAUUUAAAAAUAAAUUAAACCAGGCAUUGGAAAUCAUUCACCGUGUGGGCCAGGGCCCUAUAUAGCGCCGUCUAAAUGGCUUCCUUUCUCUCAUCUAUCAAUGCCAAGAGGGGGGAAAUACCUAAGCUGCCUGAUUCAUGGAGAAACUACUUAAAUGUAUCAGCCCCUAACAAUGAGCAAUGGUGAGCCCAGAGUUGCGCCUUUUAACACACCAAUAACAUGUGGAGCACAGCUUCAUGAGAGCUUAUCAGAGACCCCACGGUCACUGGCUUUGAGGGAGCCCAUUUAUAAGGGGGAACAAUGGUUUCAGUAUGUAGUCGCCUAAUUUCCAGAAUGCAUUACUGAGCUCAGAGGAGCAAUGGAAUUCUAUUAAACUCUUAUCUGCCACGGGAGGGUAUGAAACCGGCGGGGAAAUCCAGACUUGGCAUAGACGUGCCCAGAAAGUCCCAGGGCUGACCCUAGGAGGUGGGUGAACAAACCUAGAGGAAGAGGGGGGUGCAGGUGGGGCCCCGGAUGUGUGAAAAUAUGUGCGUUAAUGGAGCUCCGGUUUCCAGCGAUUACGUUUACAUCGGCGAAUAAAACUUGGCAAUAAAACAUC